rnacentral:rRNA from 1 species
UACGUAGGGUGCGAGCGUUGUCCGGAAUUACUGGGCGUAAAGAGCUCGUAGGUGGUUUGUCGCGUUGUUCGUGAAAACCGGGGGCUUAACCCUCGGCGUGCGGGCGAUACGGGCAGACUUGAGUACUGCAGGGGAGACUGGAAUUCCUGGUGUAGCGGUGGAAUGCGCAGAUAUCAGGAGGAACACCGGUGGCGAAGGCGGGUCUCUGGGCAGUAACUGACGCUGAGGAGCGAAAGCGUGGGGAUCGAACAGG